rnacentral:RNase_P_RNA from 1 species
AGUAAGUCGGAUGAUCGCGUGCUUUUUGCAUGAGGAAAGUCCGUGCUCCAUAGGGCAGGAUGCUGGAUAACGUCCAGUGGGGGUGACCCUAAGGCUAGUGCAACAGAAAUAUACCGCCUAAUUUUAAUUAGGUAAGGGUGGAAAGGCGAGGUAAGAGCUCACCAGCGAUUAGGUGACUAAUCGGCUCUGUAAACCCCAUCCGGAGCAAGACCAAAAGGGAGCAUAGAAAGGUAGUUGCCCGCUACCGUUCCAAAGGUAGGUCGCAGGAACUCAUUGGUAACAAUGGGUCUAGAUAGAUGAUCAUCUAAACAGAACACGGCUUAUAGACUUACUCA